AUGUUGGGGAGACACCCAGAACCCAAGCGCCUGAGACAGGACCCCAGCGGCUCCACCAUGGACUUGGUGCCAAGCUGCAUUUUCCUCCUGAUCAUUUCUCAAGGUGUCCAGUGUGAGGAGCAGCUGGUGGAGUCUGGGGGAGGCCUGGUGCAGCCUGGGGGGACUCUGAGACUCUCCUGUGCAGCCUCUGGAUUCACCUUCAGUAGCUAUGGGAUGCACUGGGUCCGCCAGGCUCCAGGGAAGGGGCUGGAGUGGGUCUCGCACAUUAGUAGUAGUGGUGGUAGCACAUACUACACCGACGCCGUGAAGGGCCGCUUCACCAUCUCCAGAGAAAACGCCAAGAACACGCUGUAUCUGCAAAUGAGCAGCCUGAGAGCCGAGGACAUGGCCAUGUAUUCCUGUGCGAGACACAGCUCAGUCACCAGCAGUUACUACUGGAGCUGGAUCCGCCAGCCCCCAGGGAAAGGGUUGCAGUGGAUGGAGUGGUGGUCAGGGAGCACAAGGUACAACCCAGCCUUCCAGGGCCGCAUCUCCAUCACUGCUGACACGGCCAGGAACCAGUUCUCCCUGCAGCUGAGCUCCGUGACCACCGAGGACACGGCCCUGUAUUACUGUGCAGGAGACACAGUGAGGGGAAGUCCGUGA